GUGCUUGCUUUGGCAGCACAUGUACUAAAAUCGGAAUGAUACAGAGAAGAUUAGCAUGGCCCCCGUGCAAGGAUGAUACGCACAUCCAUGAAGCACUCCAUAAAAAG